rnacentral:rRNA from 1 species
GAUGAACGCUAGCUACAGGCUUAACACAUGCAAGUCGAGGGGAAACGACAUCGAAAGCUUGCUUUUGAUGGGCGUCGACCGGCGCACGGGUGAGUAACGCGUAUCCAACCUGCCCACCACUUGGGGAUAACCUUGCGAAAGUAAGACUAAUACCCAACGGCGUCUCUAGAAGACAUCUGAAAGAGAUUAAAGAUUUAUCGGUGAUGGAUGGGGAUGCGUCUGAUUAGCUUGUUGGCGGGGUAACGGCCCACCAAGGCGACGAUCAGUAGGGGUUCUGAGAGGAAGGUCCCCCACAUUGGAACUGAGACACGGUCCAAACUCCUACGGGAGGCAGCAGUGAGGAAUAUUGGUCAAUGGGCGAAAGCCUGAACCAGCCAAGUAGCGUGCAGGAUGACGGCCCUAUGGGUUGUAAACUGCUUUUAUAAGGGAAUAAAGUGAGUCUCGUGAGACUUUUUGCAUGUACCUUAUGAAUAAGGACCGGCUAAUUCCGUGCCAGCAGCCGCCGCGG